AGUGAACGCUGGCGGUAGGCCUAACACAUGCAAGUCGAACGGCAGCACAGUAAGAGCUUGCUCUUACGGGUGGCGAGUGGCGGACGGGUGAGGAAUACAUCGGAAUCUACUUUUUCGUGGGGGAUCACGUAGGGAAACUUACGCUAAUACCGCAUACGACCUACGGGUGAAAGCAGGGGAUCUUCGGACCUUGCGCGAUUGAAUGAGCCGAUGUCGGAUUAGCUAGUUGGCGGGGUAAAGGCCCACCAAGGCGACGAUCCGUAGCUGGUCUGAGAGGAUGAUCAGCCACACUGGAACUGAGACACGGUCCAGACUCCUACGGGAGGCAGCAGUGGGGAAUAGUGGACAAUGGGCGCAAGCCUGAUCCAGCCAUACCGCGUGGGUGAAGAAGGCCUUCGGGUUGUAAAGCCCUUUUGUUGGGAAAGAAAAGCAGCAGGUUAAUACCCCGCUGUUCUGACGGUACCCAAAGAAUAAGCACCGGCUAACUUCGUG
rnacentral:rRNA from 1 species